UUACAGCCAUAUCAUGUUGAAACACCGGUUUUCAUAUGAUCACCAAAGUUAAGCAAUGUUGAGCCUAGUCAGUACCUAGAUGGGUGAAAGUUUGGAAAUACCAAGUGCUGUAAG